rnacentral:rRNA from 1 species
UACGGAGGGGGGCAAGCGUUGUUCGGAAUUACUGGGGCGUAAAGGGCGCGUAGGCGGCGCGGGCAGUCAACGGUGAAAGCUCGGAGCUCAACUCCGAGUCGGCCGUCGAUACUCCCGUGCUUGAGCACUGUAGAGGCAGAUGGAAUUCCGGGUGUAGCGGUGGAAUGCGUAGAGAUCCGGAAGAACACCGGUGGCGAAGGCGGUCUGCUGGGCAGUAGCUGACGCUGAUGCGCGACAGCGUGGGGAGCAAACAGG